rnacentral:rRNA from 1 species
ACGGGUGAGUAACGCGUGGGAAUCUACCGUGCCCUGCGGAAUAGCUCCGGGAAACUGGAAUUAAUACCGCAUACGCCCUACGGGGGAAAGAUUUAUCGGGGUAUGAUGAGCCCGCGUUGGAUUAGCUAGUUGGUGGGGUAAAGGCCUACCAAGGCGACGAUCCAUAGCUGGUCUGAGAGGAUGAUCAGCCACAUUGGGACUGAGACACGGCCCAAACUCCUACGGGAGGCAGCAGUGGGGAAUAUUGGACAAUGGGCGCAAGCCUGAUCCAGCCAUGCCGCGUGAGUGAUGAAGGCCCUAGGGUUGUAAAGCUCUUUCACCGGAGAAGAUAAUGACGGUAUCCGGAGAAGAAGCCCCGGCUAACUUCGUGCCAGCAGCCGCGGUAAUACGAAGGGGGCUAGCGUUGUUCGGAAUUACUGGGCGUAAAGCGCACGUAGGCGGAUAUUUAAGUCAGGGGUGAAAUCCCAGAGCUCAACUCUGGAACUGCCUUUGAUACUGGGUAUCUUGAGUAUGGAAGAGGUAAGUGGAAUUCCGAGUGUAGAGGUGAAAUUCGUAGA